rnacentral:rRNA from 1 species
GAUGAACGCUAGCUACAGGCUUAACACAUGCAAGUCGAGGGGAAACGACAUCGAAAGCUUGCUUUUGAUGGGCGUCGACCGGCGCGCGGGUGAGUAACGCGUAUCCAACCUGCCCACCACUUGGGGAUAACCUUGCGAAAGUGAGACUAAUACCCAAUGAUAUCUCUAGAAGACAUCUGAAAGGGAUUAAAGAUUUAUCGGUGAUGGAUGGGGAUGCGUCUGAUUAGCUUGUUGGCGGGGUAACGGCCCACCAAGGCGACGAUCAGUAGGGGUUCUGAGAGGAAGGUCCCCCACAUUGGAACUGAGACACGGUCCAAACUCCUACGGGAGGCAGCAGUGAGGAAUAUUGGUCAAUGGGCGAGAGCCUGAACCAGCCAAGUAGCGUGCAGGAUGACGGCCCUAUGGGUUGUAAACUGCUUUUAUAAGGGAAUAAAGUGGGAGUCGCGACUCUUUUUGCAUGUACCUUAUGAAUAAGGACCGGCUAAUUCCGUGCCAGCCGCCGCAGUAA